rnacentral:rRNA from 1 species
UACGUAGGGACCAAGCGUUGUUCGGAUUUAUUGGGCGUAAAGCGCGCGUAGGCGGCGUGAUAAGUCUGUUGUGAAAUCUCUGAGCUUAACUCAGAACGGCCAAGUGAAACUGUUGUGCUAGAGUGCGGAAGGGGCAAUCGGAAUUCUUGGUGUAGCGGUGAAAUGCGUAGAUAUCAAGAGGAACACCUGAGGUGAAGACGGGUUGCUGGGCCGAUACUGACGCUGAGGAGCGAAAGCCAGGGGAGCAAACGGG